rnacentral:lncRNA from 1 species
AGGAAGGUUAUGUGGUAACCAGUUUAUGACUUGAACUAUAGGCAAAGAUUGACCAGACCAAGCCCUGAGACACAGUGUUGAGAGCCAAGACAUAAAGUUGUGAAGAUUCAGACCCAGAGCCCAGCAGGGUACAGGCUGGAGGGGUGAUGUGAGUGAUCAGUAACACCAUGAAGACUCUGCUCCUGGGUCAGGAAUGCUUUUUUGUCCCUGUUUUGGAUUUUCCACCAUGAACAGGAAGAAAUCUAAAGGUGAAGGAAAGGCAGCGUUCAGCACUGAGCAAGUCCAUGUUGGAGAAAGGAUAAAUAUUCUCAAAGAUUCAAGCUAUGAAGACCAAAUCUACAGAAGAUAGCAACUCAUUCACAGGGAAUUGGAAAUCCUUGUCUUCGUGGUUCCUGGCUCAGCAGGACCCCUGUGGGGCCUCUCCCUCUCUUGGGAAAGAGACUGCUCUAGAAGGUUUACUACACCAGUGAGGAGAAGAUGAGCGCAAGGGGGAUUGGCUGGCUGAGGGCGAAAUCAAGACUGGAGCCAAGUGCGCUGAGCUCUCACAUGAGGUCCUUUGCUCCUGUUCCCUGGAGGCAUAAGUGGCUGGGGUAGAGAGAAGCA